UACGGGGGGGGCAAGCGUUGUUCGGAAUUACUGGGCGUAAAGGGCGCGUAGGCGGCCCGCUAAGUCGAACGUGAAAUCCCCGGGCUCAACUCGGGAACUGCGUCCGAUACUGGUGGGCUUGAAUCCGGGAGAGGGAUGCGGAAUUCCAGGUGUAGCGGUGAAAUGCGUAGAUAUCUGGAGGAACACCGGUGGCGAAGGCGGCAUCCUGGACCGGCAUUGACGCUGAGGCGCGAAAGCUAGGGGAGCAAACGGG
rnacentral:rRNA from 1 species